UACGUAGGGGGGCUAGCGUUGUCCGGAUUCAUUGGGCGUAAAGCGCUUUAAGGCGGUUCGGUAAGUCGGGUGUGAAACCUCCAGGCUCAACCUGGAGACGCCACUCGAUACUGCUGUGACUAGAGUUCGGUAGGGGAUCACGGAAUUCCUGGUGUAGCGGUGAAAUGCGCAGAUAUCAGGAGGAACACCGGUGGCGAAGGCGGUGAUCUGGGCCGACACUGACGCUGUAGAGCGAAAGCGUGGGGAGCAAACAGG
rnacentral:rRNA from 1 species